rnacentral:rRNA from 1 species
UACGUAGGGGGCUAGCGUUGUUCGGAUUUACUGGGCGUAAAGAGCGCGUAGGCGGCCAGGUAGGUCUGCUGUGAAAACUCGAGGCUCAACCUCGAGACGCCGGUGGAAACCGUAAGGCUAGAGUCCGGAAGAGGAGAGUGGAAUUCCUGGUGUAGCGGUGGAAUGCGCAGAUAUCAGGAAGAACACCAACGGCGAAGGCAGCUCGCUGGGACGGUACUGACGCUGAGACGCGAAAGCGUGGGGAGCGAACAGG